rnacentral:rRNA from 1 species
CCUACGGGUGGCAGCAGUGAGGAAUAUUGGUCAAUGGGCGUAAGCCUGAACCAGCCAAGUCGCGUGAGGGAUGAAGGUUCUAUGGAUCGUAAACCUCUUUUAUACGGGAAUAAAGUUCGGGACGUGUCCCGUUUUGUAUUUCCCUUAUGAUUAAGGAUCGGCUAACUCGGUGCCAUCAGCCGCGGUAAUACGGAGGAUCCGAGCGUUAUCCGGAUUUAUUGGGUUUAAAGGUUGCGUAGGCGGCCUUUUAAGUCAGCGGUUAAAGUCCGUGGGUCAACCAUAGAAUUGCCUUUGAGACUGGGAGGCGUGAGUAUGUUUGAGGCAAGCGGAAUGCGUGGUGUAGCGGUGAAAUGCUUAGAUAUAACGCAGAACCCCGAGUGCGAAGGCAGCCUGCCAAGCCAUGACUGACGCUGAUGCACGAAAGCGUGGGGAUCAAACAGGAUUAGAUACCCGGGUAGUC